GGUUUAGGUGUGUCAUAUAAAUACAGGUUUCUCGAACAGUCUCUCUUUUCUUUCUUUGCCUCUCCGAAGAAACCUAAUUACUCAGUACAGGGAACCAUAAGGAUUUCAUAUUCAACAAGAGAAGAAAAACUCAAUUCACAUCACCAUGCCUCCAUUUUAUUCUUCUACGUACCUGGACUCUUGGGUAUCACCUCAAUGCGGUUUAUGUUUCCUUUAUGUGAUUUGUGUUUGCAGGAAAUUUAGGAGGAAAAGUUGAAUUCCAAAGAAGAUGAGAGGAAAUAAGAAAAAGGAAGCCAAAUGGAUGAUGUCUUGCUGUGGAAUUUGUAUAGAGCUUUGAUCAUCUGAAGGUGAUCUUUAGGCUGAUAUCGAAGUUAAAUUUUGUUCAGGAAGUUUAGAAAAUGCAGAAUCAUUUAAUCCUUUGUGGAUUAAUAUUGCUUAAUAGCUUUGGGGUGGGAAAUAUGCUAUUGUUCAAGGUGGCAUUGGACCAUUGGAUUGUUAACUUUAUCUUAGGGUUUUCAAAGCUCAAGGUAUAUGGCAACCAUAUGAUCGGAGGAUGAGGACACUGCAAUAAGUUUAUGAAUGAACAUAAAUUGAAAUCCAUUUGCAUUUCAGAUUGCAUCCCACAUUACAAGUAAGUGCCUACACUUUGCAGUUACAUAUUUUAAGAAAUUGAGUACUUGGCAGUUUAAGAACGAACAUGAUAACUUUUUGGUUAUUAUAAAUAAACUUCGUUUACACUUUAUAUGCCAAAUUCAAAAACGUAUAAAUAUUUUGUCUAUAUUUUUCUCUAAAAUCCCCGGAGUUUCUUUAUAGGAACACAACGGGACCUUACCCGUCGACGUAAACAAAAUGUCUAAUUGUUUUAUUUCACGUGUUGUGCUCUGGUGAUAUGGAUUUGGCUGAAUAAACAAAAUCAGGAGUGGCAUUAUGUCCCACAAGGAUGGUGCUCACGAUGCGUAUUUGCACAAGAGUAGAAAUGAGUCGGAAACCUUGGCUGAAAAACAGGUUCACAUGCACAACAAUAUUGCAAAGUAUUGUUAGUGGUGUUAGGUAUCUUCUAGGAAUUCACACUGCCAUAGUGUUCUUGCAUGUUUUUGGUCAUGUCAGGAUAUUGCCAAUGCUAAUCAUAUUAACUCUACAUAAUGCUAAUGAUAAUGGCUCUUGAAUGCAUCAUAUUUAUUCAUUCAAAAAUGGCUCUUGCCUUUAUGAUAAUGUGUUUUCUGAGUUGCUCUAUCUCAUGUAUCCAUCCUUGCAUUUCAUUGACUCUGCACCUAAGCUGUCAGAUACGUCCUUCAAGCGAGGUCAGUUUGUACACCUCUAUUGUUAUUUACACUAUUUUUCUUUACUUUUUUGCAUAGCUUAUAGUUGUGGUUUUCUUUAACUGUUGAGUGUGACAGGCGCAAAUGAGGAAAUUCUAUUGGUAAAUAGGUAAUGUGCGUCUGAAUGCUUCAUUGAUGUUAACACCUUGGAGACUUGAUGCCCUAAAGAAAUCAUUCAUUUUCGUUACUGUUUUCCCUCUUUUUUUGUUUUUUCUUCAGUAUUGGAAAUAAUGAGGAGAUGAUUGGGUAAAUUCCUUAUGUGUUUGGUCAUCAAACUGAUGGCAUGAAUGUAUUAGCCCUAGGAACGCCAGUAUCUAUUAUGAUCUGAACUUUGCGAGUGUGUACAACUAACCCAUGAAGGAUCUUACAAGGCUUCCAUAACGAGCAAAUCGGUUCAUAUUUUAGCAAAUGUUUGUGACACACUUCUUCAACUUGAACCAAAAUUAGCAACUGAAAUUGGAAACAAAGUUGAUAUAUUAGCAUGAAUAACUGAUUUGGAUUUUUUAUUUCUUUGCAGGAGCAUCAAGUUCCUUCUCAGGGAAUUUCAUAUUUCCAUGUAUUACCCUUGCCAUCUUAGCUCAGUUGGAAGAGCACAUGGGUUUGAACUUUGAACCAUGUGGUCAUGGGUUCGAUUCCCACAGAUGGCGGAGAGACCCUAUAGUUUAGGGUGCACUUUAGGGUGCAGCUACUCUAACAUGGUUCUUCCUCAGGUAAAAAUUUCACUGGUGGGUUCUCAGAGACCGUGGACGUGGGUGGCCAUGGUCACGAGGAACCUAACAACUAGCAGAAAUUUUGCACGUUCUAUGUCUAAUAGCUGAACAUUACUUUUUUUGGUAUUUUUUGCCGGGUCUUCAGGGAAUAACCGAGUGUAAGCUUCUACUAAACUGUUUCUGCAAUAAGUGAAUGAUUAACCUUACCUGGGAAUCAAGAUUCAUGCAUGGACAUAGUGUGCUGCGGUGGUCAUAAGUAGUAAUUGUCAUAAUUCCAGUUAGGAGAACUUUACUCAUAGGUACUAUCUGUUUCUAUGUUAAGUCUACAUAUAUCUAGCCUACGCUGCUUUCGGGUAUUUGGUUGUUUGUAAAAGGAAAAGAUAGAGCAAAACACGUACAAGCUUGGAUUUGGAGUGAUACCAUUCUUGGAGAAAGCUAAGAUAUUAAUUGAUGAAAUGUUUUUGGAGGGACUUGAAAUAAUAGUCGAGCAAAAUUGUACUUCUGUGUAGAAAGAAUAUGAGGAUGGUUUCGUUCUCACGAAAAGAUUGUAGCAGAUUGGGAUGGUUUGGAUCUUACGAAAAUAUGUUAGAAGAAGAAGAUGCUGCUUAGAAGGUGAAAGGAAGAAAAUUUUAUUGAUACGACCAUGACUCUACUGAUUUUUUCCUGUAGGAAAUAUUAGUAAUGAAAGAUUUACCAAGUAUCGAGAAUUAUAUCAUUUGACAAGUAAAUUGUAUUGUUCAUGAAUAAAAACGAGACAUAGUUGUUUAGGAAGCCAACAUCGUUCUUAGCCACUGAUUGUUGAAUACUAAUUUGGCAAAGUUACACUUAUCAGAGUUCUUUGACCAUGGAUUUAAGGAAAUAACUCAAA